rnacentral:rRNA from 1 species
ACUCCUACGGGAGGCAGCAGUGAGGAAUAUUGGUCAAUGGAGGGAACUCUGAACCAGCCAUCCCGCGUGUAGGAAGACGGCCUUAUGGGUUGUAAACUACUUUUAUACAGGAAGAAACGUACCCUCGUGAGGGUGCCUGACGGUACUGUAGGAAUAAGCACCGGCUAACUCCGUGCCAGCAGCCGCGGUAAUACGGAGGGGUGCGAGCGUUAUCCGGAUUUAUUGGGGUUUAAAGGGUCCGUAGGCGGAUUAAUAAGUCAGUGGUGAAAUCCCAUCGCUUAACGAUGGAACUGCCAUUGAUACUGUUAGUCUUGAAUGAGGGUGCAGUGGUUGGAAUGUGUAGUGUAGCGGUGAAAUGCAUAGAUAUUACACAGAACACCGAUUGCGAAGGCAGAUCACUAACCCUAAAUUGACGCUGAGGGACGAAAGCGUGGGGAGCG